rnacentral:rRNA from 1 species
GACGAACGCUGGCGGCGUGCUUAACACAUGCAAGUCGAACGGAAAGGCCCUGCUUUUGUGGGGUGCUCGAGUGGCGAACGGGUGAGUAACACGUGAGUAACCUGCCCUUGACUUUGGGAUAACUUCAGGAAACUGGGGCUAAUACCGGAUAGGAGCUCCUGCUGCAUGGUGGGGGUUGGAAAGUUUCGGCGGUUGGGGAUGGACUCGCGGCUUAUCAGCUUGUUGGUGGGGUAGUGGCUUACCAAGGCUUUGACGGGUAGCCGGCCUGAGAGGGUGACCGGCCACAUUGGGACUGAGAUACGGCCCAGACUCCUACGGGAGGCAGCAGUGGGGAAUAUUGCACAAUGGGCGGAAGCCUGAUGCAGCAACGCCGCGUGCGGGAUGACGGCCUUCGGGUUGUAAACCGCUUUCGCCUGUGACGAAGCGUGAGUGACGGUAAUGGGUAAAGAAGCACCGGCUAACUACGUGCCAGCAGCCGCGGUGAUACGUAGGGUGCGAGCGUUGUCCGGAUUUAUUGGGCGUAAAGGGCUCGUAGGUGGUUGAUCGCGUCGGAAGUGUAAUCUUGGGGCUUAACCCUGAGCGUGCUUUCGAUACGGGUUGACUUGAGGAAGGUAGGGGAGAAUGGAAUUCCUGGUGGAGCGGUGGAAUGCGCAGAUAUCAGGAGGAACACCAGUGGCGAAGGCGGUUCUCUGGGCCUUUCCCGACGCUGAGGAGCGAAAGCGUGGGGAGCGAACAGGCUUAGAUACCCUGGUAGUCCACGCUGUAAACGGUGGGUACUAGGUGUGGGGUCCAUUCCACGGGUUCCGUGCCGUAGCUAACGCUUUAAGUACCCCGCCUGGGGAGUACGGCCGCAAGGCUAAAACUCAAAGGAACUGACGGGGCCCCGCACAAGCGGCGGAGCAUGCGGAUUAAUUCGAUGCAACGCGUAGAACCUUACCUGGGUUUGACAUGGAUCGGGAGUGCUCAGAGAUGGGUGUGCCUCUUUUGGGGUCGGUUCACAGGUGGUGCAUGGCUGUCGUCAGCUCGUGUCGUGAGAUGUUGGGUUAAGUCCCGCAACGAGCGCAACCCUUGUUCACUGUUGCCAGCACGUUAUGGUGGGGACUCAGUGGAGACCGCCGGGGUCAACUCGGAGGAAGGUGGGGAUGACGUCAGGUCAUCAUGCCCCUUAUGUCCAGGGCUUCACGCAUGCUACAAUGGCUGGUACAGAGAGUGGCGAGCCUGUGAGGGUGAGCGAAUCUCGGAAAGCCGGUCUCAGUUCGGAUUGGGGUCUGCAACUCGACCUCAUGAAGUCGGAGUCGCUAGUAAUCGCAGAUCAGCAACGCUGCGGUGAAUACGUUCCCGGGGCU